CACGCCGUAAACGAUGAGUGCUAGUUGUUGGGGUGCAUGCACCUCAGUGACGCAGCUAACGCGUUAAGCACUCCGCCUGGGGAGUNACGCGCAGAACCUUACCAGCCCUUGACAUGGGACGUAUGUUUGCCAGAGAUGGUGACUUGUCUUCGGACGCGUCCACACAGGUGC
rnacentral:rRNA from 1 species